rnacentral:lncRNA from 1 species
AAGCUGUGUCGGGAGUUGGCCAGACUGCCAAUCCUGUGGAUGGAACCAAAACGGAGGAAAGUUCACUACAUCCAUGGAAUCGUCAGUAAAACAAUUGAUAUAUCUCCAGAUCGUGUUCGCAGGUUUCUCAACAGAAUCACCUCCAUCUACUCCAACAUGGAUCCUUACAUAAAGCAUGGAAACAAAAUAGUGUAUAACGCAUCUGGAGGUCGAAGAACAAAACCUGUGUAACGAUGUCUUCAAACUGACUGAUUUCCUGGAAGGUCUAUUAAUGCUGACCAACCUCGAUGUACUCAGCCUGCCCAACACCAUCCACGUGAAUAUCUACCCAGAAGCGCCGUACAUGUUGAACCAAGUCCUGCGCUCGCUGACCCGACUGCGCAAGCUGCACCUUCCAUCCUGUAACUUACGGGAUUCCCUCCACACAAUACUCAGCGGACUCACAAAGCAGAAGACGGCAUUCGAAUGCCUCAACCUGCGCGACUGU